rnacentral:rRNA from 1 species
GACGAACGCUGGCGGCGUGCUUAACACAUGCAAGUCGAACGGAAAGGCCCCUUUGGGGGUACUCGAGUGGCGAACGGGUGAGUAACACGUGAGUAACCUGCCCUUGACUUCGGGAUAACUUCAGGAAACUGGGGCUAAUACCGGAUAGGAAUCCUUGCUGCAUGGUGGGGGUUGGAAAGCUUCGGCGGUUUUGGAUGGACUCGCGGCUUAUCAGCUUGUUGGUGGGGUAGUGGCUUACCAAGGCUUUGACGGGUCGCCGGCCUGAGAGGGCGACCGGCCACAUUGGGACUGAGAUACGGCCCAGACUCCUACGGGAGGCAGCAGUGGGGAAUAUUGCACAAUGGGCGGAAGCCUGAUGCAGCAACGCCGCGUGCGGGAUGACGGCCUUCGGGUUGUAAACCGCUUUCAGCAGGGGCGAAGCUUGUGGUGACGGUACCUGCAGAAGAAGCACCGGCUAACUACGUG